AUCCCAGCUCCAACACCAAACACACGGUUGGCAAGAGCACACCAAGUAUUUACGAAGCAGCAUGAACGUGAACUGAGGAAGCAUCGAAUCAAAACAGACGCCAUGACUCGUUUUGUCAAAGUUCUCAACGAUAACAACCUAGACAGAAACGAUAAUAUCGAUUUUGGCGAGUUUCGGCGGGCUUGUGCACAGACUAAAACCGAAUGGCAAAUUGAAAGUGGUUCACCAAUGCAUGCUGGCUGUGUCGGCUAACAAACGCGCGGUCGCCCAGAAACGCUCAGACCGGACCCGAUAUCACUAACGCGCGUGAACGCUAUAGUUACUCCAGCAACAUAAUAUGGAAUCUAUGUCAUAGCUGUCAAGCCCAGAAACCAUAACAUCUCGAGGUCGUCAAUAUCUCAUAUACUUGUUGCCUGUGUAAGUCAUCCCUGAAAUAGCUCGUCAUUUGCUGGAACUGCGACCCUGAUCAUGGAGAAACACCAGUCUGGGUCAGAAGGGAGGAAACAGAAGGAGCAAAAAGAACUCCAAGACAAUGCAAAAGGAUCUCGAUCACUCCUAACAUACUUUUCAAAAGUAAACAAGAAAGAGGAAAAGGACACUACAGAGUCAACUCAAGCAAGUGGAGGUUUGCCAGAGUCCUCCACAAUCCACGAAAACCCUGCCAUAUGCCAGAAGGGACAAGAAACCGAAGUUCUUUUAAAGGAAAAACCCAAUCAGCCUCAGACAUGAAAACCACAUUCCGAAGCGAUCGUUUUGCGCGUAGAUUUCAUAGGUUCUCAUAAAUUAUGAGUAUAGUCUUUCGUAGUGAAUUCUAUGUUUAAUUCUCAAGAAAUUUAUUUUUGAAUGCUCUUAAAAACGCAACUUUUAUACUCCAUUUUUACACAAAGUCCUUACCGUUGGGGCUCCCACACCCUCUCCCGCUCGAUCGCUUCGGUAUCUCACGCUGUCAAAAAUAUUGUGCCCCCUUCGGGAUUUUGCCCCCCUAAAACUGAAAGUGUUCCGGCGCGCCUGACC